rnacentral:misc_RNA from 1 species
GGUGGAAGAACGUGUACAAGAUGAUGCCUGGAUAUGUGACAAAGAUACUGGUGAGAUUUUCCAACAUACACUCAAACGCAUCGUAUCCGUUUGAUGCAACUGCAGAACCCGGCUACGUGUACCAUUGUCACAUACUGGAUCAUGAAGACAAUGCGAUGAUGAGACCAUUGAAGCUGGUUUAUUGAGAAGAGGCUGUGGGAGACAAGACCAACCCAAUUCAACCCAAAUGAAUGUUUCAAACUAUGGCUUAUUAACUAAUUACCGUUUUUAUUUGUAAGGUAGGCUGUACCCAAUAAACAUAACAGAGCCAAUUAAAAUGGAAUAUGUAAUUCA